UACGUAGGGUGCAAGCAUUAAUCGGAAUUAUUGGGCGUAAAGGGCGCGUAGGCGGAAGUAUAAGUCAGAUGUGAAAUUCCAAAGCUCAACUUUGGCGCUGCAUUUGAAACUAUACUUCUCAGAGGACUGACGGAGAAAGCGGAAUUCCACGUGUAGCGGUGAAAUGCGUAGAUAUGUGGAAGAACACCGGUGGCGAAAGCGGCUUUCUAGUUUUUUCCUGACGCUGAGGCGCGAGAGCAAGGGGAGCAAACAGG
rnacentral:rRNA from 1 species